AACCUCUCAGAGAGAAGCUGUGAAGCUCUGUCCUCAGUUCUCAGCUCCCAGUCCUCUAGUCUGAGAGAGCUGGACCUGAGUAACAACAACCUGCAGGAUUCAGGACUGAAGCUUCUGUCUGCUGCAGUGCAGAGUCCACAUUGUGUGCUGGAAACUCUCAGUCUGUCAGGCUGUCUGAUCACAGAGGAAGGCUGUACUUCUCUGGCCUCAGCUCUGAGCUCCAACCCAUCCCAUCUGAGAGAGCUGGACCUGAGCUACAAUCAUCCAGGAGACUCAGGAAUGAAGCUGCUGUCGGCCGCACUGAAGGAUCCACGCUGGAGACUGGACACUCUCAGGGCGGAGCCUGCUGGAGUGCGAUGGCUGAGCCCAGGUCUGAGGAAGUAUUCCUGUCAACU